rnacentral:rRNA from 1 species
GAUGAACGCUAGCUACAGGCUUGACACAUGCAAGUCGAGGGACAGCAUGGUCUUAGCUUGCUAAGGCUGAUGGCGACCGGCGCACGGGUGAGUAACACGUAUCCAACCUGCCGUCUACUCUUGGCCAGCCUUCUGAAAGGAAGAUUAAUCCAGGAUGGGAUCACGAGUUCACAUGUCCGCAUGAUUAAAGGUAUUUUCCGGUAGACGAUGGGGAUGCGUUCCAUUAGAUAGUAGGCGGGGUAACGGCCCACCUAGUCAACGAUGGAUAGGGGUUCUGAGAGGAAGGUCCCCCACAUUGGAACUGAGACACGGUCCAAACUCCUACGGGAGGCAGCAGUGAGGAAUAUUGGUCAAUGGGCGAUGGCCUGAACCAGCCAAGUAGCGUGAAGGAUGACUGCCCUAUGGGUUGUAAACUUCUUUUAUAAAGGAAUAAAGUCGGGUAUGCAUACCCGUUUGCAUGUACUUUAUGAAUAAGGAUCGGCUAACUCCGUGCCAGCCGCCGCCGUAA